AAUUCAUUUUGCUGUGCCAAUGGCCCAUUUAUUCUGACACUGACAAAUUUUGACCUUUAUCAAAAAUCAAAAGCAAACAAGAUGUACGCGCCACAUAAUAAUACAGGAAAAAGCCAGGAAAUAAUAACUAUUUGCGUAUUUAUAUUGCAAAUGCGAAUGUUGCAAUACGGAGAUAUUUUAGGUCUUGCUUUGGAAAAGAGGAAAACACGGCGAGAAGUUUCGUACAUGGAACCAAGAUAUAUUCAUUUACACGUAGUGGCAGUUGCCCAAUAACAAAAUAUUGAGUGCACUAUCUGUCGAAAUCAGUGAUUUGUGCAACUCUGAUUUUGUUUAUGUUACUAGUUCGCGCGAGAAUAGAGAAAGAUUCUUCGUAAAAUAUAUGGACCAGUUUGCGUUAAUGGAGAAUAUAGGCGACGUAUGAACCACGAGCUGUAUGACGACGGUAGCAUACAUAGUUGCACGCACCAAAAUACAACGGCUGUGUUGGUUAGGUCAUGUUGUCAGAGUGGAUGAAGAAGCUCCAGCAAAGAAGACUUUUGAAGGCAAACACGGUGGUACACGCAAACCGGGAAGACCAAAAGCCCGAUGGAAAUAUCAAGUGGUGGGAAACAUCUCGAAACUUGGUGUCAGAGAUUUUAGAAUGAGCGCAGAAGAUCGAGACGCUUGGAACGCUAUUCUACGUUCGGCUAGUAGAACAAAUAUUCUAUCAUAGCCAAUUAAAGUAAAGUACCUCACAAAUGUUGCCAGCAUUAGGAGGGGAAAACCACCGCUGAAAAUUUUUUCUGAUGGUCUCGCCAGGAUUCAGCGUUCAGCGUCAUAGGCGGACAUGAUAACCUUUGCGCUAUGGUAGCCUCCACCUCUACCUUUAGAAAUUGAAAUUCAAAUAUGUAUCUUAAAAAAAAAAUAUAUAACCAACGUAGUACUAGAAAUUUCAACUCUAGGUCAAGCAAAAGUACGCGAACGACUUCCAGUGAAAAUUUGCAGAACAACAGCUGAUUUUUGUUUUGGUUGAUUUUUUAUUUCCUUGCUUAAGAAAACAAUUGUUUUAAAAUAAGAAAUGCUGGCGAUA